CCUACGGGCGGCUGCAGUGGGGAAUAUUGCACAAUGGGCGCAAGCCUGAUGCAGCCAUGCCGCGUGUGUGAAGAAGGCCUUCGGGUUGUAAAGCACUUUCAGCGGGGAGGAAGGCGGUGAGGUUAAUAACCUCAUCGAUUGACGUUACCCGCAGAAGAAGCACCGGCUAACUCCGCGCGCAGCAGCCGCGGUAAUACGGAGGGUGCAAGCUUUAAUCGGAAUUACUGGGCGUAAAGCGCACGCAGGCGGUCUGUCAAGUCGGAUGUGAAAUCCCCGGGCUCAACCUGGGAACUGCAUUCGAAACUGGCAGGCUAGAGUCUUGUAGAGGGGGGUAGAAUUCCAGGUGUAGCGGUGAAAUGCGUAGAGAUCUGGAGGAAUACCGGUGGCGAAGGCGGCCCCCUGGACAAAGACUGACGCUCAGGUGCGAAAGCGUGGGGAGCAAACAGGAUUAGAUACCCCAGUAGUC
rnacentral:rRNA from 1 species